ACGCUGGCGGCAGGCCUAACACAUGCAAGUCGAGCGGUAGAGAGAAGCUUGCUUCUCUUGAGAGCGGCGGACGGGUGAGUAAUGCCUAGGAAUCUGCCUGGUAGUGGGGGAUAACGUCCGGAAACGGACGCUAAUACCGCAUACGUCCUACGGGAGAAAGCAGGGGACCUUCGGGCCUUGCGCUAUCAGAUGAGCCUAGGUCGGAUUAGCUAGUUGGUGGGGUAAUGGCUCACCAAGGCGACGAUCCGUAACUGGUCUGAGAGGAUGAUCAGACACACUGGAACUGAGACACGGUCCAGACUCCUACGGGAGGCAGCAGUGGGGAAUAUUGGACAAUGGGCGAAAGCCUGAUCCAGCCAUGCCGCGUGUGUGAAGAAGGUCUUCGGAUUGUAAAGCACUUUAAGUUGGGAGGAAGGGCAGUAAAUUAAUACUUUGCUGUUUUGACGUUACCGACAGAAUAAGCACCGGCUAACUCUGUGCCAGCAGCCGCGGUAAUACAGAGGGUGCAAGCGUUAAUCGGAAUUACUGGGCGUAAAGCGCGCGUAGGUGGUUCGUUAAGUUGGAUGUGAAAUCCCCGGGCUCAACCUGGGAACUGCAUUCAAAACUGACGAGCUAGAGUAUGGUAGAGGGUGGUGGAAUUUCCUGUGUAGCGGUGAAGUGCGUAGAUAUAGGAAGGAACACCAGUGGCGAAGGCGACCACCUGGACUGAUACUGACACUGAGGUGCGAAAGCGUGGGGAGCAAAC
rnacentral:rRNA from 1 species